GGAUGCUUGGCUUGGUGGUCAGAGCGCGGACUGGGUAGGUCCGAGGUCGUGGGUUCAAUUCCCGCAGUGUCCA